rnacentral:rRNA from 1 species
AUUGAACGCUGGCGGCAGGCCUAACACAUGCAAGUCGAGCGGAUGAGUGGAGCUUGCUCCAUGAUUCAGCGGCGGACGGGUGAGUAAUGCCCAGGAAUCUGCCUGGUAGUGGGGGACAACGUUUCGAAAGGAACGCUAAUACCGCAUACGUCCUACGGGAGAAAGUGGGGGAUCUUCGGACCUCACGCUAUCAGAUGAGCCUAGGUCGGAUUAGCUAGUUGGUGAGGUAAAGGCUCACCAAGGCGACGAUCCGUAACUGGUCUGAGAGGAUGAUCAGUCAAACUGGAACGAGAACACGGUCGAGGCUCCUACAGGAGGCAGCAGUGGGGAAUAUUGACAAAUGGGCGAAAGCCUGAUCCAGCCAGGCCGCGUGUGUGAAGAAGGUCUUCGGAUUGUAAAGCACUUUAAGUUGGGAGGAAGGGCAGUAAGUUAAUACCUUGCUGUUUUGACGUUCCAACAGAAUAAGCACCGGCUAACUUCGUGCCAGCCGCCGCCGUAAAAC